AAAGGAAAGCUCUACUGCACGGCGGUGAGGCUUCUAUUUCCUGUCCUCAAAUAUGAGGGAGACAGGGGUCCUGGAGCCUGCAAUCUACAAAGCAGCGUGAUUCACGAUAGCCAAAGGUGGAAGCACCCCAAACGCUCAGCAGCAGAUGCACGGGUAAACAAGAUGCGGCGUGUACAUGCAACGGAAUAUUAGUCAGCCUUAAAGAGGAAGGAAAUGUUGACACACACCACAGCGGGGAUGAACAUUACAGACUUUAUGCUGAGUGAAGUAAGCCAGACAUGAAAGGACAAAUGCUCUCUGACUUCACUUUAAUGAGGUCUCCAAAGCAGUCAAGUUCACAGAGAAGAAAGCAGAAUGGUGGGGGCCAGGGGCUGGGGGAGGAACAAUGGGGAGCUACUGUUUGAUGGGUACUGAGUUUCAGUUUUGCAAAAUGAAAAAGUUCUGGAGAUGGAUGGUGGUGACGGUUACACAACAACAUGAAUGUAACUAUUGCCACUGAACUGUCCACUUAAAGGUGGUCAGAAUGGUAAAUGUUAUGUAUAUUUUACCACAAUUAAAUAAUAUAUAAAUUAAAUACAAAAUCUUACGUGUGGCAUAGAAGAAUAACCAUGUCACCUGUGGGGAAUUGUUUUUUUUUGUUUGUUUUUUGGGUUUUUUUUUUUUAACAUGAGCAUGUUUUACUUUCAUAAUAAAACCAAAAAAGAGAUUGAGACUUAUAAGGCAAAAACAUUUCUAAUCACGA